rnacentral:rRNA from 1 species
AGUGAACGCUGGCGGUAGGCCUAACACAUGCAAGUCGAACGGCAGCACAGUAAGAGCUUGCUCUUACGGGUGGCGAGUGGCGGACGGGUGAGGAAUACAUCGGAAUCUACUUUUUCGUGGGGGAUCACGUAGGGAAACUUACGCUAAUACCGCAUACGACCUACGGGUGAAAGCCGGGGAUCUUCGGACCUUGCGCGAUUGAAUGAGCCGAUGUCGGAUUAGCUAGUUGGCGGGGUAAAGGCCCACCAAGGCGACGAUCCGUAGCUGGUCUGAGAGGAUGACCAGCCACACUGGAACUGAGACACGGUCCAGACUCCUACGGGAGGCAGCAGUGGGGAAUAUUGGACAAUGGGCGCAAUCCUGAUCCAGCCAUACCGCGUGGGUGAAGAAGGCCUUCGGGUUGUAAAGCCCUUUUGUUGGGAAAGAAAAGCAGCAGGUUAAUACCCCGCUGUUCUGACGGUACCCAAAGAAUAAGCACCGGCUAACUUCGUG